GUACUGAAAGUUGCUGGUAUACAGUGGUGAGCAAAUAAUAGCAGACCUUCAGGAGCUUAUGUUCCAAGGACAGGGAUGGACAUUGAUAGGAGAAUCACACAAACAAAACGCAAAGUCACAUCAGGAAGUUCUGGACAGCACCUUGCAGAGGUGGUGGUUGGAUGGACCAUCUGUAGGGAGUGAAGCAGGAGUUACCUGAGUGAUUCGGGGAGGAGGGGCCCUUCACAUGUGCAAAGGCCCAGCGUAGGAAGUGACGGGAGAGGAAGGCCGGGGCCAAACUACCUCAGGCCUUUUGGUCAAUACUGAAGGUUUUGAUGUUUUCUCCUGGGAGUGGCGGAACUCCAUUGAAAGACUCCAAGGGAGUGGCAUGACCAGAAUGAUCUCUGACGGCUCGCUCUGGGUACAGUGCAAAGGACAGGUGGGAGGAAGCCAGGCAGGCCCUCGGCUAUAGUGGUCUAGGGUGGAGACACCGGCAACUUGGGAACUAAAUGUGGGCACUAAAGAUAAAGAUACGUGUGUGGAUCCACGAGAGGUUUAGGACACGGCACUGCUCUGGGACUUGGUGAAGGAGGGGCUGUGGCAGGGACACAGGUGCUUUUGAUGCUUCUGUGGAUGCAGUGUCACCCUAUGGGGCCAACUCCUGGAGAAGGCAACACAGAAGUGGGAAACUUCCUGAUUUUGUGGAUGUGGAUCUUAGGUGGACAGCCUGAUGUCCAGGGCAAGUAUGCAUCUAGUUUCUUCCACUCUCCUUGAAUGAGAAGUUGUGGUUCAGUUCCUGGAUAGUAGAGCGUUCACCACUGAACGUUCACCACUGAAACAAUGGAUGAGUGGAAACACAUAGGACCAGGUAUGAAAGACAAGACUGUUUGAAGGUAAGUGAUCGCCAUUAACAUUUGUAAAUUUUCAUGAAAUUCAGAGCUUAUUAAUUCAGGUGAGUUAAAUAAAUGUAUUUUAAAAUUGCUAUUUCUAUUAUUAUAACUUUAAUGGCUUUAUAAUUUUACAGUUGAGUCUAUCUAGAUGGAUUACUGCAUAUCUGAGUAUAUAUGGAGCCAUCUGAGAAUUCCUCCCAAUUAUAUGUAAAAGAGGACUGAUUAAAUGCUGUGAAUUGAAAAUUUAUUUCUCUUUAUCAGACCUUUUGUAUCUUUUUAAUGAUGAUAUUUGGUGGAAAGGGAUUUGAUUUAGACACAUUGACCUACAUUCCAGGUUGUACUGAUGAUAAUUUACUUAUUAUUAGAGUAAGCUACCAAGAGAAAUCCUGGUGCCUUUCUUUUUGUAGAUAUUUACAUAAUUCCAGUUGCCUUUAUCAUAGCCACGUGAACAUAUAUUUUACACGGACUGGUUCAGGGAUUUAAUGAUAGAAUUAGAAAUAGCUAAGGAACUAGCUCUGAAAAGUAUUGUAAAUAAUCCUAAUCACAUUAGAUAUUUUGAUAAAAUAUUUGCCAGAUAACCUUUCAUUUACUCUUUUUGUAUAUAUUGCUUGAAAAAAAUUCAUAUGAAAGUGGAUUAGACUACUACGGCUGAUUAGAACUGGCUGGGUCAGCCUGGAGCCUGUCAGUGAGUGAGCAGGCCCCACCGGGAUUCCUGCAGACAUGAAGCGUGACACUCAGGGCCCCAGGCUAUGCCCCAGCUGUGCAAACAGCUUGGUUGCUGUGUCUGCAGUCUUUGUUCUCAUUAUCUGUGGAGCCUGCCCAAGCGCGGCGAUGCCUCGGGCACCAUUCCUGGGCUCACUUGGCUGCCUCUGACCCUUGCAGUCUACCCUGAUGGGAGAGUCUGCAUUUCCAUCCUCCACGCGCCAGGCGACGACCCCAUGGGCUACGAGAGCAGCGCGGAGCGGUGGAGUCCUGUGCAGAGCGUGGAGAAGAUCCUGCUGUCGGUGGUGAGCAUGCUGGCAGAGCCCAAUGACGAAAGUGGAGCUAACGUGGAUGCGUCCAAAAUGUGGCGCGAUGACCGGGAGCAGUUCUAUAAGAUUGCCAAGCAGAUCGUCCAGAAGUCUCUGGGACUGUGAGACCUGGCCUCGCACAGGCGCAUACACACCGCCAAGCAGCUCAGCAUUCUCCCCCGGCACACUUAGUGACAGUGAUGCUCUGUGCUGGUACCAAACAAGGCAGACUUGCAAGAACCACGGCAUCUUUUUUUUUUUUCAAACCUUUCCUACUUCAAACAGGCUUCUCUUCUGAAAUGAUGACUUAAUGUCGAAUAUUGACAGCUUACUGCAGUUUUACAGUAUUCCUCACAAAGGGCUUCAGGUAGAUUAUCAGAGCUGUCAGCACUACCUCUCCCCGCUGAAACCAGCAGUUCAUGGCUUCCUGUGGAUUCCCUCCCUCCCUGGAGUGUUGAGGGGGUUGUACCUGCCAGACUUCCAGGGGACGAUGGAAUACCCAGAACGCUCCUUCUGAAGAAAUGGGGCCCUGUAGCUGCAGCACAGGGGAAGGGCCCAGCACCCUUUCUGGGUCCCUCCUGGUUCCCUGUGGGCCCCAUGAGGAGUCCAUUACUUCCUUUCUUCCUUCAUAUUUUACAGGCAGAUGCUUUUCUUAUAAUCUAAUUACAUCUUUUCAUUUGUUAUAUAUUACAAACCAUCACACUUAGAAAUACUUCCAGGAAAUGCUUUUUUGAAGUGUGAAUUAAUAAGAAAUGGGGUAAAUAGAAAAGAAAUUUAUUGCUGAUUGGCCAGGUGCAGUGGUUCUUGCCUGUAAUCCCAGCUCUUUGGGAGGCCAAGGCAGGUAGAUCACAAGGUCAGGAAAUUGAGACCAUCCUGGCUAAUACAGUGAAACCCCAUGUCUGCUAAAAUUACAAAAAAUUAGCUGGGCAUGGUGAUGCACGCCUGUAGUCUCAGCUACUCAGGAGGCUGAGGCAGGAGAAUCGCUUGAACCCGGGAGGCAGAGGUAGCAGUGAGCUGAGGUCCCGCCACUGCACUCCAGCCUGAGCAACAGAGCGAGACUCAGUCUCAAAAAGAAAAAAAGAAAUUUAUUGCUGAUCACAAGGACAGACAGUUUUUUCCCGACCAUACUCAUCAAAGAUUUACAUUUGUAUAUUAGUAACUAGUGCAUUACUAGAGCAGGUGCAGGUGAGGUCUUUAAAGUUUCAAUGAAAGUUUCUUCUGGAUCUACAGAAAAAAUUUUUUUUUUUCGAUCUAAAAACUGGAAAUUCUAGGGUUUUUGUACAUUUUGGAUGCACUGGGAAUUUAUUAGCACAAAAUCAUUCUUUGCAACUCAAAAGUCAGAAGGGACUCUACCAUAUCUUAGCUCAGAGCACAGAGGAGUGCCUUAUCCCCACACUUGACUGGGCUGUGGAGGUGGGCAUGUGGGCCCCUGGGCCCAGGCUGGGGACAGAGCCCUUGUUUUGUGACUUAGGAUUUUGAUGUGGUUCCCAUGUUCUCUAACAGGGCCAGCUGAGCAGCACAGGCCAGGAGGCCACAGUGUAAGCAAUAACAGAUCUGCCACAUGCAGAAGCAAAUAUCAGGCCUGUUGCACACAGGCGGCAUUUAAAUAGGAAUUUCUAUUUUUGAAAUAAGGGAUGGUCUAUGAGGCAUACAGUAGAUUUGAUGUGAUCCUUUUCUUCCUCCCUUCCAUAAUGGAUGGUGGUCUGUGUGACUGAACCCACACAGAGUGUCAUGGGUGACAGUUUCUGGUUGAAGUAGCUCCACGCUGGGCUUCUGUGGACAGCAGAUUCUUUUCCUUCUCACAGGGGGCUCAUUUAAAAUUUGGAGGCUGGGUGCGGUGGCUCACGCCUGCAAUCCCAGCACUUUGGGAGACUGAGGCGGGCGGAUCAUGAGGUCAGGAGAUCGCGACCAUCCUGGCUAACAGUGAAACCCUGUCUCCACUAAAAAUACAAAAAAUUAGCCGGGCAUGGUGGCGGGCGCCUGUAGUCCCAGCUACUCUGAAGACUGAGGCAGGAGAAUGGCGUGGACCCAGGAGGCGGGGCUUGCAGUGAGCUGAGAUCGCGCCACUGCACUCCAGCCUGGGCAACAGAGUGAGACUCUGUCUCAAAAAAAAAAAAAAAAAAAAAAAAUGGAACGUAGGGCAAGAACUCGUAUUUGGAAGGAGAUGGGGGAAAGGAGCGGUAUUAUACCUAAGCUGUAUUUGCAGGCAAAUGAGAUGGAGCCCUCUCUGUAAAGAAGAGUCAUUUGUGCAAGUAGACGGGGUCUGUGGGUGCAGGCCCUGGAGGGGCACACAAUUGCCUGGAGGCUUCUGUGAGAUCGGGAGAGGGAGGAGAGGCAGUCUCUUGACAAAAUAAAGUAUUUUUAUUCAUUUGUAUUUAUUAAAUGAAAAAACAAUCCCAUGGUGUCCCUGUUGUGUGGUGGAACCUAAUCACUCUGUUGAAAUAAAGUUCUGUGUUUUCCCUGCCCUGCA
rnacentral:sRNA from 1 species